rnacentral:rRNA from 1 species
AACGAACGCUGGCGGCAGGCCUAACACAUGCAAGUCGAGCGGGCGUAGCAAUACGUCAGCGGCGGACGGGUGAGUAACACGUGGGAAUAUGCCUUUCGGUUUGGUAACAACUCGGGGAAACCCGUCGCUAAUUCCGGAUACGCCCUUAGGGGAAAGGAUUAUCGCCGAAAGAUUAGCCCGCGUCCGACUUAGCUAGUUGGUGGAGGUAACGGCCCACCAACGGCGACGAUCGGUAGCUGGUUUGAGAGAACGACCAGCCACACUGGGACUGAGACACGGCCCAGACUCCUACGGGAGGCAGCAGUGGGGAAGUCUUGGACAAUGGAGGGAAACUCUGAUCCAGCCAUGCCGCGUGAGUGAUGAAGGCCUUCGGGUUGUAAACUACUUUCGUCGCGCGACGAUAAUGACGGUAGCGCGAGAAGAAGAC